rnacentral:rRNA from 1 species
GACGAACGCUGGCGGCGUGCCUAAUACAUGCAAGUAGAACGCAGUUGCGAACGGGUGAGUAACGCGUAGGUAACUGCCCCAUAGCGGGGGAUAACUAUUGGAAACGAUAGCUCAUACCGCAUACUGUGAGAUGGACCUGCGUUGUAUUCGCUAGUUGGUGAGGUAAAGGCGCACCAAGGCGACGAUACAUAGCCGACCUGAGAGUGUGCUCGGCCACACUGGGGCUGAGACGGUGUCCAGCAACCACCGGUAGGCAGCAGUAGGGAGUCUUCGGCAAUGGACGAAAGUCUGACCGAGCACCGCCGCGUUAGUGAAGACGGUUUACGGAUCGUAAAGCUCUGUUAGUAGAGAAGCGGUAACUAACCAGAGAGGGCCGGCUAACUUCGUGCGAGCAGCCGCGGUAAUUC